GGAUAGGUGGCAGAGCGGUUGAAUGCACUAGUCUUGAAAACUGGCGAGGGCGCAAGUCCUCCGGGGGUUCGAAUCCCUUCCUAUCCGCCA
rnacentral:tRNA from 1 species